rnacentral:rRNA from 1 species
AUGGCGGGGGACGGCGACGAGGAGCGGCCGGCGAUGGGCGGCGACAAGCUGAUCCUGCGGGGGCUGCAGUUCCACGGCUUCCACGGCGUGAAGCAGGAGGAGAAGAAGCUCGGGCAGAAGUUCGUGGUCGACGUGGACGCCUGGAUGGACCUCGCCGCCGCCGGGGACUCCGACGACAUCUCCCACACCGUCAGCUACACCGACAUCUACAGGAUAGCCAAGGGCGUGGUGGAGGGCCCGUCGCGCAACCUCUUGGAGUCGGUGGCGCAGUCGAUCGCCGGCACCACGCUGCUCGAGUUCCCCCAGAUCUCCGGCGUCCGGGUGAAGGUCGGGAAGCCCCACGUCGCGGUGCAGGGCGUCGUGGACUACCUCGGGGUGGAGAUACUGAGGCGUAGACAAGCAUGA